UCAGGCCUAACACAUGCAAGUCGAGCGGAAACGAGUUAUCUGAACCUUCGGGGGAUGAUAACGGCGUCGAGCGGCGGACGGGUGAGUAAUGCCUAGGAAAUUGCCCUGAUGUGGGGGAUAACCAUUGGAAACGAUGGCUAAUACCGCAUAAUGCCUACGGGCCAAAGAGGGGGACCUUCGGGCCUCUCGCGUCAGGAUAUGCCUAGGUGGGAUUAGCUAGUUGGUGAGGUAAGGGCUCACCAAGGCGACGAUCCCUAGCUGGUCUGAGAGGAUGAUCAGCCACACUGGAACUGAGACACGGUCCAGACUCCUACGGGAGGCAGCAGUGGGGAAUAUUGCACAAUGGGCGCAAGCCUGAUGCAGCCAUGCCGCGUGUGUGAAGAAGGCCUUCGGGUUGUAAAGCACUUUCAGUCGUGAGGAAGGUGGUGUAGUUAAUAGCUGCAUUAUUUGACGUUAGCGACAGAAGAAGCACCGGCUAACUCCGUGCCAGCAGCCGCGGUAAUACGGAGGGUGCGAGCGUUAAUCGGAAUUACUGGGCGUAAAGCGCAUGCAGGUGGUUUGUUAAGUCAGAUGUGAAAGCCCGGGGCUCAACCUCGGAAUAGCAUUUGAAACUGGCAGACUAGAGUACUGUAGAGGGGGGUAGAAUUUCA
rnacentral:rRNA from 1 species